AGUCCUGCGGAUUUUCAAGCCUCGUUACUUUCACAUCGCGGUCUGGAAAGGCUGUGUUGAUUGUUGUUAAUGUCUAAUGAUAUAUUUAAAAUCUUUUAUUAAUUGAUAAUUAACAUGCCUAUUGGUAAGAUUCCUGAGAGGUGGCUGGACUACAGCAACAUGGGGCGCCGGAUCCCUGGCACACGCUUCAUCUGCUUUAAAGUCCCUCUUGAC
rnacentral:lncRNA from 1 species